UAGCCUAGUGGUUAAGGCUGUGGAUCGCCAAUCCGGAGAUGGCGGGUUCGAUUCCCGU
rfam:Aedes albopictus isolate Foshan contig66767, whole genome shotgun sequence.